rnacentral:rRNA from 1 species
GACGAACGCUGGCGGCGUGCUUAACACAUGCAAGUCGAACGGAAAGGCCUGCUUUCCCUUGUGGAUUGCGGGUACUCGAGUGGCGAACGGGUGAGUAACACGUGAGUGAUCUGCCCCCAACUUGGGUAUAAGCCUGGGAAACUGGGUCUAAUUCCCGAUAGGACUGCAGGGUGGUGCCUGUGGUGGAAAACGAUUUUCUAGUGGUUGGGGAUGAGCUCGCGGCCUAUCAGCUUGUUGGUGGGGUAAUGGCCUACCAAGGCGGCGACGGGUAGCCGGCCUGGGAGGGUGGACGGGCACAUUGGGACUGAGAUACGGCCCAGACGCCGACGGGAGGCAGCAGUGGGGAAGAUUGCACAAUGGGCGGAAGCCUGAUGCAGCGACGCCGCGUGGGGGAUGACGGCCUUCGGGUGGUAAACUCCUUUCGACCGCGAGGAAGCCACCUGGUUGGAAGGGUGGUGACGGUAGUGGUAGAAGAAGCACCGGCUAACUACGUG